AAGUAUUAAAGGUCCCGCCUGCCCAGUGAUUUUUUCAACGGCCGCGGUAUUCUAACCGUGCAAAGGUAGCGUAAUCACUUGUCUUUUAAAUAAAGACCUGUAUGAACGGCUAAAUGAGGAUAAACCUGUCUCUUAUAACUAAUCAGUGAAACUGAUCUCCCAGUACAAAAGCUGGAAUAAUAACAUAAGACGAGAAGACCCUGUGGAGCUUAAAACAAACCACUAAACAGAUCUAACUGUUUUAAUGGACAUUUUCAGUUGGGGCGACUUCGGAAUAAAAGAAAACUUCCGAGCACGGAGCCAUAAACCUCCAACCAAGGCCAACAAGCCAAAGCACAAAAACUCGACCCGGCCCUGCCGAUCAACGAACCAAGUUACCCCAGGGAUAACAGCGCAAUCUUCUUCGAGAGCCCCUAUCAACAAGAAGGUUUACGACCUCGAUGUUGGAUCAGGACACCCAAAUGGUGCAGCCGCUAUUAAAGGUUCGUUUGUUCAACGAUUAACAGUCCUACGUGAUCUGAGUUCAGACCGGAG
rnacentral:rRNA from 1 species